rnacentral:rRNA from 1 species
UACGUAGGGGCUAGCGUUGUCCGGAUUUAUUGGGCGUAAAGAGCGUGUAGGCGGCCAGGUAGGUCCGUUGUGAAAACUCGAGGCUCAACCUCGAGACGUCGGCGGAAACCCUCUGGCUAGAGUCCGGAAGAGGAGAGUGGAAUUCCUGGUGUAGCGGUGAAAUGCGCAGAUAUCAGGAGGAACACCUGAGGCGAAGGCGGGCUACUGGGCCGAUACUGACGCUGAUGUGCGAAAGCCAGGGGAGCGAACGGG